GGGCCCAGUCCGUGUCGGUGGGACGGCGGGGUCGGGUGGGCUUUCUGGUCCGUGGACCAGAUCGUUAGGAACGAAACCGAGCCCUGGAUCAGAUAGGACGCACGUCACGUUAGGGAAGAGAUGGGCGAAGCGGCGGUCCCGAACGAGCUGGUUCUUUCUGAAACCCUCGUCAUGCGGUCGAUUCGCCCAACCCAGGGCUAUCUCUAUUUUGAUCUUCCACUUUCAAGGCCAUUUGCGGCGGCGCCCAUUGUCCCCCCGGCGAGGAAGGAAAAAAUGGAAGAUCCUGGCCUGGAGUUCCUUCUAGACGCCAUUGACAGGUUUCCGUUGCGGGAGGAGUUCGCCGACAACCUAAGCACCCAGAUCCGGUUCCCCUUGCCUUGUUGCCGCGGAACGAGGAGGAAACCUGGGCAUCCCAGCGGACUCAAAUGCAAAUUCUAGUUGUGGCCAACAGCUCGGCGGCGAGAGCCAUGGCGGACAGCGCGGAGACGUUCGUCGGCGGAAAGAUGCUUCUGCGACAAGCUCUACCCAGUCAACUGACAGAGUGAACCUUGGACAAAAAGCAUAAUCCUUUAUACACGAAGAAGGGCGAGUUCCAGGCUGAGUAUUACAAGGUUGUCAAUUACAUGUUAACUGAAGAUGAAUUUGAGACUGCGUGGGCUUUGCUAUUAGAUAAGUAUGAUUUGUGAAGCACCCGUACAUGACCAAGAUAUAUGAAAUCAGGAAGAAAUGGGCAAAACCAUAUUUCAAGGGGGUUUUCUGUGCCAAGAUGACGAGCACGCAACGCAGCGAGAGCGCCAAUAACAUGCUGAAGACAUACAUGCCAGCCCAAUGCAUGUAUUUGUUAAGCAGUAUAUGAGGGUGCAACUUGAUCGGGAGCGUGAGAGAGCUACGAUGAGAAGAGGACAAUGAUUGGUCGGGCGGUUCGGAGGAAAAAUUUGACUGUAGAGCGACAUGCAAGUAAAAAUUACACAAGAGCUAUGUUUGAGGAGUUUGGUCGGCUACUGAUUGAAGGAACAUCUUACAAUGUUACCGAGGUGGAGAAGAUGGAGAAGUAUAUUACAACACACAACAAUGCGUCAAGAAGAGAGAAGUGGAGCAGGGUUGAGUACUCACGGUCAGUGAUGACCGGUCCGAGUUUACAUGCGAGUGUGGACAAUUCGAGCACACUGGAAUGUUGUGCAGCCAUGUUUUGCGGGUCAUGGACAUACUUCUUCUGGAGGAGAUCCCGGUGAAGCUUAUUGCGAAUUGCUGGACCAGGGAGGGACAUACUCCCCUUGGACCUGGUUCAACAUCAGAAGGAUAAUUCAGUGAAAUUGUCAUUCACAUGCAGACACUCAACACUUACCUGAAAGCUAUGCAGGUCGUGCGGACGGGCAACGCGAGUGCCGAAGCAUUUGAACACACGAUGAGCGCACCAUUGGCAGCAAAGAGGGAUGGUUUAGGUUUUUAAGACCAUAAUGAGAGACUCGAACUGGGUAGAUUGGUUUACUAUGUUGGUGUUGAUAAUGGUAACCAAGAUAACAGUGAUGGAAUGCCCUUCAAGACCUAGCGCCUCCUGAUAAGCAACAAGAGGUCGACAGACCAACAAAUGGCAGCGAAAAGGCGGCUUACGAGGGUCUGAGCAAGUGGAGAAGAUUCUGUAGCAUAUGUCUUUGAGAGGGACAUAAGCGCACUACCUGCCUGGACAGAGACGAUGCUCCGAAGAAACCAGGGAAGCCUGGCAAAUGCAAAAACUGUGGCAUGGAAGAAAACCGCCGGAUGACAUGCACAAUGCCGCUUGGAGUUGCAGAAAUAUGAAAUCUACUAUUUAAAAUGUUGGUUAUCGAGGAUUUUCUGGUGUGUUCAAGUAAGCAUUUGCUCCACGCUUGUUCCUCUUGUGGUUAGAGACAUGACAACUGUAUAACAAAAACAGAAUGCAUUGGUCACACAUGAUAUUCAUUAAUUUCUGAUAGGCAAAUGCAUUGUCCUAGAGAAAACAUGCUUAGAGGUUGACUGGUUGAGGGUGCCACCCUUCAGUACAAACGCCCCUGCCAGGGGAUGAUAAUACAAACUAGAGUACGUGAUAGAGUUUUUUUUGCAAGCUAAUUGGACGAACCAAAGUAAAUUGCCAGAACAAAAGAACAAGAACAUUAUGGCCCCGCUUGGCAUCGGUGUAUUUUUAUACACCUGUAUUUUUUUAAAGGUGUAUAAUAUCGGCCACACUUGAUUGAUUUUUGCAUGGAAAAGAAAACGACGGAUCGAGGUCCGUAUAUAUUAUAGUGGUAUGGCGCUGUCAAACACCAAUCCAAUGAGGGCCUAAGCAUGCUGCUAACAGAACAGCUAUGAUUGCUAGUGCUUGGGACCCUGAUGUAGCGGCGACGGCGGCUGCCGGCCUUAAUCACAUGGUUGACCAGCUCAUGCUGCGACGGCGGUGGUGCCUGGAUCUGGAGAUGGUUUGGUUGAGGAUGUAUCUGCACUGGACCGUUGCCCUGCUGAGCCUGAUGUGGAUUUUGAGCACCAAGCAUCUGCGCGGGGUGGUGACCCACGGCCUGCUGCACAACACGCGCAACCUGCUGAGGAGAGAGCCUCCUGAAGUAAGCCUGCUGGAAGUCAAAGAAAUGGCAAGGCUGCGACAUAAAAGGAUUCAGCAGAGACAUUGUUCAGUAAGAAGAUGAGAUUGGUGGUGCG